UCAACCUGAUAGAAAUCCUUUGC
rnacentral:siRNA from 1 species